UUGUCUCUGUAGGACAUGUUACCACAGCAAUGCAAAGUGACUCACAGCCUUCCUACCCUAAAAGUUCGUAUAUUAAGGUCUUUACCCCCAAGUUCUCUAUCACAGGCAUUUAGAUAUGGGAUAUUUGGACCGGAAGUUCAAAUGGAAGACCUCACUUGGUCUCCAGCAGGUGGCGCUGUUUGGGAAAAUUAUGGACCCUUUAAGAGGUGGAGCCUCGCUGGAGGAAGUCUCUGUUUCCUUCACAUGACCUCAGACCAUGGUGAUGCUACCAAUCAAGAUACGAUGCAUGCAGGACCCAUUAAUAACAUUAGAAAACCUAGCAAGACAGGUAGCCAUACAUUUUAUGGCGAAGAAGCUGAGACAUAGGGGCUGGAGAGAUGGCUCUAACGGGAAAGUGUUUGCCUUGCACUUUCAAGAGGAGGAAAAGGAAGAGGGAAAUGAGGAGAAAUAAGAGGAAGAAAAAGAGGAGGAAGAGAAAGGAGGUCAAGUGGAUCUUGUAACACCACCAUUGGGGAGACAGACACAGGCAGAUCCCUGGGGUUCCUUGACCAGCCAGCCUCAAUUGUUUGUCAAGUUCCAGGACAGUGAGAGACUCUGCCUCAGAAACAACAAAGUUGGAGCUGGAGAAAUGGCAGUGGCUAAGACAUGUACUGACUUUUCAGAAGACCCAAGUUUAUGUUCCUAACACAUGCAUCAAGUGGUUCACAACUGAUUAUAAAUCAGCUCUAGGGGAUCUGAAUCCCCUUUAUCGUCUCCUCGGUCACCUGCACUCACACAUCCACGCAUACAUGCAUAUCACUCUGGCGAUGUGUACACAUACAUUUGAACAUGCACACAUACAUAUACGCAAACACACAAGAAGAAAAAGAGCUUUCUUCUGUUAGGCUGUUUGUAGCAAGCCUUAGAAUUACAAAGGAUUUCUGGCUAAUUAA